CCUUUCGACCGGGACGAUUAUGACGGUACCGGAAGAAGAAGCCCCGGCUAACUUCGUGCCAGCAGCCGCGGUAAUACGAAGGGGGCAAGCGUUGUUCGGAAUUACUGGGCGUAAAGGGCGCGUAGGCGGUGCUCCAAGUCCGGUGUGAAAUCUCCGGGCUUAACUCGGAGGCUGCACCCGAAACUGUGCUGCUGGAGUGUGGGAGAGGUGAGUGGAAUUCCGGGUGUAGCGGUGAAAUGCGUACAUAUCGGGAGGAACACCUGUGGCGAAAGCGGCUCGCUGGACCAUUACUGACGCUGAGGCGCGAAAGCUUGGGGAGCAAACAGGAUUAAAUACCCUGGUAGUCCUAGCCCUAAACGAUGAUUGCUUGGUGU
rnacentral:rRNA from 1 species